CCCUUAGAUGUUCUGGGCCGCACGCGCGCUACACUGACGAAGUCAGCGAGCAUGUCCUACGCCGACAGGUGCGGGGAAUCUUGUCAAACUUCGUCGUGAUGGGGAUUGAUUUUUGAAAUUCUUGAUCAUAAACGAGGAAUUCCUAGUAAGCGCAAGUCAGCAGCUUGCGUUGAUUACGUCCCUGCCCUUUGUACACACCGCCCGUCGCUACUACCGAUUGAAUGGUUUAGUGAGAUCUUCGGAUUGGCGCCACUGCAGCUCAGCAAUGGGCUUGGUGGAUGCCGAAAAGUUGAUCAAACUUGUUCAUUUAGAGGAAGUAAAAGUCGUAACA
rnacentral:rRNA from 1 species